UUAUAAAUGGUGUUGAUGGCACAAGGAUUGCGACAGAGAAGACCAUGAUUUUAUGUUUGAUGAAUAUCCUUGAUCAAUGAAAGAAAGAGGGGGAAGGAAGAAUUAUGCUCAGCCCUGGCAAGCUCAAACUUAAAAUGGAGAAUAUAGCGUUCACAGGCCAUAUUUCUUGAUCAGAAACGGAAUGAAGAUCAGCCUAGAGAAAAUGAGGGCGAACAUGUAAAUGCGUACCCCACAUCGGUAAAAGAAGUACAACGGUUUCAUGAAUUAUUUCAUCAAAUUCCUUUCUUCAAAUUUAACCACCAUGGAACCCAUUCGGAAACUUUGUUAAAAAGAGUAAAAAGGCCCUCAUACAAAUCAUUAAAAAUUACAAGCAGGUAUUUUUUGUGGUUUCUGCAAUGCUCCUUAAAUAAAUUUUGUGUUAUAAAUCCAAACAUAAAUAAGUGUAAUGUAAACAGCUUUUCUGUCUUUACGCGAUUUAGUUUUUGGUCAUUACUUAAUGCUUUUCAACGCAUUCAAGAAAUACAACCUUACAGUCUUAUCUAAACAUGUUUAACAAACUUCUCUUUGCUUGGCUCUUUGUAUUUGUGCCAUAUAUUUUUCACAAUCUUGAAAACUACAGAUUAUACAGAACAAGAGACAAUUUAAAUUAAGCUUUUAAUAAAUUCCAUAUAGAACAUAAAUACUUUAAGUGAAGAAAGUGUUAGACUUUGUGAACCAAAGCCAAGUGACUUGAUUUGUAAUGCUUGAUGAUUAUAUAUUUGAAAAUAAUUAAAUUCAAUCCAUACAUAAAUUCCAACAAGCCUUAACUACUCUAUUUUCAAUUUAUACUUCGAAAGAACCAAAUAUUUUUUCUUAGUUAUUAUGCUGCUAUAUUGAUUCGUAUUGGGACGUUUCAAGAUAUCAAAAUACAAGCUUUAUUUGACAUAUGCCGAAAUAUUUUAAGUUGUGUGCUUAAUGCCCGCGUGUUGUUUAUUUUUUGACUGAAUACAUGACACAAACGACAUGCCUUGUUUUCUUCUAAAAUGGUUACUGAGUCAGUAUCUCUCUUGAGUCAAAACAAUGAACAGAUCGAAUAAUUCCAAAUCAAUGGAGUUUUUCCAGAUACGUUGAUUGAUGAACGCUAAAAAGCUGAGAGACAGGAAGACGCAUUGUAGACUGAACAGUGGACAGAUUCAAGUGCGAGCAAUCCGCGUUCAGAAAGAUCUUUAAGAAUGAGCAAGGUUAAUAGUUUAUGUUGAUGUUGGUUCAGAGAUAUGUGCUUCGAAGGAAUUACGAAAGAAACAAGAUAAAUUAGCGUUAAUUUGCAAUAAAAUAUUUUUAAUGUUUUGACUGUUCUUUAAUGGCGUCAAAGUACUUUGCAUCAUUUAAAUUCAACCUUUGUUCAUUUUAGUAUUUCUUUUUUUAAGAAGAUAAAAGGUUUUAGCCUCUCUGUUUUUUCUUACUCUAUUUUAGUAACACAACUUAACAAAACUUGUAACCCUACGUGUGAAAUUUUUGUUAUACCUUUGGAAAAUUCUUCUCCAGGCGUUAUUUAACAUACCUGUUUUAUUUCUGAAUCUACCAGAAUGUAAACACUUCAUUAAUUACGCAUUCCUUAUACUGAAUAUCAAACCAGUAAUUUCUGUGGAGCAGACUAGUUGUACAAAUAUUUUUCAUUGAAGUUUUAUUUUUGCAUUUCUUAUUACGUUAACACAUUAACGUAUUUUGUAAUUCUUAAAAGUAAUAAAUGCUGGACAGAUCGAUGUACAAAAUUUUAUUCACGAAACUCUGUUGUUGUCUCCGUGACAACAACGUGUGUAUCAAUAAGUUCAAUACCAAAAUUUUUCUGGAGAUGUAUUCGUAGCUUAUAUGUUAACUUUACUCCUCUUUUGUUUAUAUACUACGUCAAUUUAAAAUGUAUGUAUAAGUUGUUGUAUUAUCUGUUUACUAGAACAAAACGUUUAUGUAAAAUACUUUUGUAAUUUGAGAAUACUUAAUUCAUGAUAGCAAAAAGCAAUUAUACCAGUGAUUUACAAGCA